ACGGCCCGGCUAAAUGCUGGGCCCUUUUAUUUUAGGUGAACCUGGUUUGAUUCCAGGACUGUCCCGCAACGGUGAUGACAACUGUCUAAGUCCGAUCCCUAAGAUGAAAUGAAUUC
rnacentral:ncRNA from 2 species